rnacentral:rRNA from 1 species
UGGUUUGAUACGUCGCGGUGUGAAAUUCAGGGGCUCAACCCCUGACCUGCAUUCGAUACGGUCAAGCUAGAGUUUGGUAGGGGAGACUGGAAUUCCUGGUGUAGCGGUGGAAUGCGCAGAUAUCAGGAGGAACACCGAUGGCGAAGGCAGGUCUCUGGGCCAAUACUGACACUGAGGAGCGAAAGCGUGGGGAGCGAACAGGAUUAGAUACCCUGGUAGUCCACGCCGUAAACGGUGGGCGCUAGUUGUGCGAACCUUCCACGGUUUGUGCGACGCAGCUAACGCAUUAAGCGCCCCGCCUGGGGAGUACGAUCGCAAGAUUAAAACUCAAAGGAAUUGACGGGGCCCCGCACAAGCAGCGGAGCAUGCGGCUUAAUUCGACGCAACGCGAAGAACCUUACCAAGGCUUGACAUAUACAGGAAUAUGGCAGAGAUGUCAUAGCCGCAAGGUCUGUAUACAGGUGGUGCAUGGUUGUCGUCAGCUCGUGUCGUGAGAUGUUGGGUUAAGUCCCGCAACGAGCGCAACCCUCGUUCUGUGUUGCCAGCAUUAAGUUGGGGACUCACAGGAGACUGCCGGGGUUAACUCGGAGGAAGGUGGGGAUGACGUCAAAUCAUCAUGCCCCUUAUGUCUUGGGCUGCACGCAUGCUACAAUGGCUGGUACAAACGGCUGCGAUACCGCAAGGUGGAGCGAAUCCGAUAAAGCCAGUCUCAGUUCGGAUUGGGGUCUGCAACUCGACCCCAUGAAGUCG